rnacentral:rRNA from 1 species
GACGAACGCUGGCGGCGUGCCUAACACAUGCAAGUCGAGCGAAGCUUUUAAAGUGGAUCCCUUCGGGGUGAAACCUUAACUGUCUUAGCGGCGGACGGGUGAGUAACGCGUGAGAAACCUGCCUUUCACAACGGGAUAGCCUCGGGAAACUGGGAUUAAUACCGUAUGAUACUCAACUCCAGCAUUGGAGAUGAGUUAAAGCGUAAAAGCGGUGAAAGAUGGUCUCGCGUCCCAUUAGUUAGUUGGUGAGGUAACGGCUCACCAAGACUUCGAUGGGUAGCCGGCCUGAGAGGGUGAACGGACACAUUGGGACUGAGAUACGGCCCAG